rnacentral:rRNA from 1 species
UACGGAGGGUGCAAGCGUUAUCCGGAUUCACUGGGUUUAAAGGGCGCGUAGGUGGGUCUGUAAGUCAGUGGUGAAAUCUUCGAGCUUAACUCGGAAACUGCCAUUGAUACUAUAGAUCUUGAAUUUUCUGGAGGUAAGCGGAAUAUGUCAUGUAGCGGUGAAAUGCUUAGAUAUGACAUAGAACACCAAUUGCGAAGGCAGCUUACUACGGGAAUAUUGACACUGAGGCACGAAAGCGUGGGGAUCAAACAGG